UGGGGAAUAUUGGACAAUGGGCGAAAGCCUGAUCCAGCCAUGCCGCGUGUGUGAAGAAGGUCUUCGGAUUGUAAAGCACUUUAAGUUGGGAGGAAGGGUUGUAACCUAAUACGUUGCAACUUUGACGUUACCGACAGAAUAAGCACCGGCUAACUUCGUGCCAGCAGCCGCGGUAAUACGAAGGGUGCAAGCGUUAAUCGGAAUUACUGGGCGUAAAGCGCGCGUAGGUGGUUUGAUAAGUUGGAUGUGAAAGCCCCGGGCUCAACCUGGGAAUUGCAUCCAAAACUGUCUGACUAGAGUACGGUAGAGGGUAGUGGAAUUUCCUGUGUAGCGGUGAAAUGCGUAGAUAUAGGAAGGAACACCAGUGGCGAAGGCGACUACCUGGACUGAUACUGACACUGAGGUGCGAAAGCGUGGGGAGCAAA
rnacentral:rRNA from 1 species